CUCUGGCUCACACACAUGAUCAAUAACAGACUGGGGGCUGCUAUAAGUUAUUAUGAAGACUUUAAGAAGUCUGAAUUUUUCCACUGAGGACGAUAUGACGAGGUCUUCACCUCCGAUGUCCUCAACAAGUGAGACCAGCAUCCACAAUUA